rnacentral:lncRNA from 1 species
GACUUACAAAAUGGUGCAUUCACCUUAUGAUAUCCAGUGGAACAACCACUUUACAAUAGUGCAUCCCUUCAUGGUUACAGGGGGUCUGAUCCGGUACUAGAUAUGUACCUAAAAAACUGGCCACUGAGUGUAUAUAAUUAUAAAAUAUUAAAGCCACCAUGGCAUUUUAAAGCUGUCAAGCAAGUCAGAUGGAUGGUUGGUUUGGCAAGCUAGCUAACUGGCUAGCCUGUUAUGUUUUGAUUUAAAUGCUGGAGGUAGAGCGGACAAGGCCAAAGCAAGGGUACAAGCAGAGAUGGCAGAGGUAUGCGCAAAUGCUCGGUAAGGCUACUUUGGACUACCACUGACGUGCGGUGAGCCUUCCGCUGCCAGGGCAUCACCCAAGUGGGUGCUAAGUGAUCAGUGGUGGUCGAGGAGUAGCUGGCUAGCUACCGGCUACAGAGACCAGACUUUGCACUGUUUAACGGCUCUGGACAACAGUCAUCAUUGCUUCGAGACCGGACCCGUCUGACUGAGGCUCCCGAGGCUUACCCCCCUGCCUAUGACCAUGAUGCAUCCGCUCUCUCCCUCCUCUCAUGGACAUUUCCCUUACAAAAAACUCACUUGAAUUUCAUGUGGUAACGUGUUUCAAAUGUGAUCACGUGAUCUCACAUGAUCGCAUGUGAUCUUAUGUGAAGUUAAUGUAAUAACGUGACAACAUGUAAAAGCAACAUGUGAUAACAUGAAACUACACAUGUAAAAACACGAUCUCAUGCUAAAUAAAUGUGCAACAUGGGAUGCAAAAUUACAACCAUCUGAGUUUGUUUUUCACAUGUGGAAGUGCAAAUUCGAUUUCCACAGAAAUUCCACAUCCCACUGGGCACACCAUGUCACUUGAAUGUGCAUAAUUGGGUAAUAUUUGGUUAAGAUGUUGAUCAAUGAGAGAUUACAACCUAUAUUCACCCACUCAAAAAGACAGCCAAAAGUUUGUUGAAUUUCCAAUGUGUUAUCACUAUGCUUUCAACCAUCUAAAAGCACAACCAAAUUCCAAUAGAAAAACAAUGUGUGAUUUUUGGUUUAUAUAACGGAUUAAUCUAUUAUGACUGUGCUUCAUCUAAUAGCAGAACCAAAUGACCUGGAUUGCAGUUGAGAUUACAUUAAAAGUAUCCUUGAACAUGCACGCUUUAUAUAAUUACAUAAGAAGACAUAUAUAGUUACAGUCACCUCAAAAUAUGGUCAUGGAUGUGUUACUCAUUUGAAGGUUGAAUGUUACAUUCGUUUGUAAGACAGCCUUAACUUCAUGCUAUUUAAUGUAUUACAAAUGUAUUAUUGAAUUGUUUGGUUGUCAACACAACCAAAUAUCAACAAUUAAUAAAGGAGAUGUAUCUACUGCUUGGAUAGAUCCAUCUGUGGCACUGACUUAGUCUGGCUUUAAUUCCAGUUUGUCUACAAAUGAAUAAUUGAUAUGUUGGAUUCACGUCUCCAUCUCAACCAAAAAUCCAAGUUAAAGAAUAGGACAAAAUCUAAUCUAAUUGUAAGGACCGACGCCGGAGAUGAGAAGCAGGUACGGGGAGUCAACAUUUAAUCAGGAACAAACAGGUAACAAGCCAGGCACAGUGUCGGCACACGGGUAAACAAGG